rnacentral:rRNA from 1 species
AUUGAACGCUGGCGGCAGGCCUAACACAUGCAAGUCGAGCGGAUGAGGGGAGCUUGCUCCCUGAUUUAGCGGCGGACGGGUGAGUAAUGCCUAGGAAUCUGCCUGGUAGUGGGGGAUAACGUUCCGAAAGGAACGCUAAUACCGCAUACGUCCUACGGGAGAAAGCAGGGGACCUUCGGGCCUUGCGCUAUCAGAUGAGCCUAGGUCGGAUUAGCUAGUUGGUGAGGUAAUGGCUCACCAAGGCGACGAUCCGUAACUGGUCUGAGAGGAUGAUCAGUCACACUGGAGCUGAGACACGGUCCAGACUCCUACGGGAGGCAGCAGUGGGGAAUAUUGGACAAUGGGCGAAAGCCUGAUCCAGCCAUGCCGCGUGUGUGAAGAAGGUCUUCGGAUUGUAAAGCACUUUAAGUUGGGAGGAAGGGCUGCUGGUUAAUACCCUGCAGUUUUGACGUUACCAACAGAAUAAGCACCGGCUAACUUCGUG